rnacentral:rRNA from 1 species
CCUACGGGAGGCAGCAGUGAGGAAUAUUGGUCAAUGGGCGGAAGCCUGAACCAGCCAAGUAGCGUGCAGGAUGAAGGCCCUACGGGUUGUAAACUGCUUUUAUACGGGAAUAACGCGCCUUACGUGUAGGGCUUUGCAUGGACCGUAUGAAUAAGGACCGGCUAAUUCCGUGCCAGCAGCCGCGGUAAUACGGAAGGUCCGGGCGUUAUCCGGAUUUAUGGGGGUGACAGGGAGCGUAGGCCGCAUGUCAAGCGUGCUGUGAAAUGUCCGGGCUCAACCCGGGCCUUGCAGCUCGAACUGGCGUGCUUGAGUCCGCGGCAAGCAGGCGGAAUUCGUCGUGUAGCGGU